UUGGCUCAUUACAACAGCCGUUGUUUCUUGGAUCUUACUUUACUUGGAUAACUGUGGUAAUUCUAGAGCUAAUACAUGCAACCAAGCUCCGACCUCAGGGAAGGAGCGCAUUUAUUAGACCAAGACCAAUCAGAUUCGUCUGAAACUUGGUGACUCUGAAUAACUUUGCUGAUCACACGGUCCUAGCACCGGUGACAUAUCUUUCAAGUGUCUGCCCUAUCAACUUUCGAUGGUAGUUUAUGUGCCUACCAUGGUUGUAACGGGUAACGGAA
rnacentral:rRNA from 4 species